CCAGGAGAAGAGGCUCAUGGGUAACGUGGUCCUCUGUUUCCAGUCUUUAUGCUAAGCUAGGCUAACAGUUCUAACCUCUUUCCAGUCUUUAUGCUAAGCUAGGAUAGCUGUUUUCCUCUGUUUCCAGUCUUUAUGCUAAGCUAGGCUAACAGUUCUAACCUGUUUUGUCUUUCUGCUAACCUAGGCUAACAGUUCAAACCUGUUGUGUCUUUCUGCUAACCUAGGCUAACAGUUCCCACCUGUUGCCAGCCUUUGUGCGAAGGUAAGCUAACAGUUCCCACCUAUUUCCAGUCUUUGCUAAACUAGGCUAACAGUUCUAACCUGUUUCCAGCCUUUGUGCAAAGCUAAGCUAACAGUUCCCACCUGUUUCCAGUCUUUGCUAAACUAGGCUAACAGUUCUAACCUGUUUCCAGUCUUUGUGCUAAGCUAAGCUACCUUGGAGACUAUUUGUCUGUGAGUAAAACGUGUACAUAAGCACAAAUAGAAAUUUCAUGUUAGAAGUUUGUCAUAAUUUGUCAAGUAGUUGAAAUAUGUCAUACAGUGUUGUUAGAAAGCCCUCAUAUUUUGAUCAUGAUGUUGUAUGGGUUGCGUUAUAGUUGUAUUUCCUCCCUUGUUGAGCUAAUCGGAUGUUUGUGUUUUUUUACGUAAUGUCCUUGAACGCACCUCGUGUGUGACGUAGCUUUUCUCCAUGUUGCAGCACAGUUGUUAGCUAGUUCUCUCCUGUGCACAUGUCUGAACUGGAUGCAUGUUGCAUUUUUUUCUUCCUUAACCUGCUGUGUGUAAAUGAUGAAGGUGAGUGGUCAUGUGUUCCACCAGUAGAGCAUGAUUAUGCACUGUUUAGUGUUACUUGUUGAUCGUUUAGCGACACUUUACAGGACGGACGUUAGCUUAGCAAUUAGCCCACCAUGUUGUCUGUCCGAGCGGGUUUGGCUACAUUGCUACCGUCAUGUGAUUGAAAUGCUGAGCCAUGCAUAAUAUUUUGCCCUUCGUUAUUGUGUUUAUGUGCAUUUGUGUUACUGUUUCAUAGUAUAAUUAUUAUUGUGGUUACAUUUAUGCUGAAUGUCUUACUGAUUCAGUAUUCCUGUUUGUGAUGUUUCAGAACCACAGCUAGCCACAGUUAUCCACAAGUAGCCACAGUUGUCUACCAGUGCAGCACAGAGUUAUCUGCAACAACAAUAAACAUCAUUAACCUGGAAAGUCUGGCUGCCGUGUUCACUCAACUCAACUCAACUCAACUCAACUCAGACCGACAAAUUCUUCAAUGGAAACUCUAUGUUGCCUGCUAAUCUUGAUUUGGAAGUAGAGGCUCGAGGAAAUGGACAAGGAAUACUAGAGUACAGGGAAAGACGACCACGGGUUGUGACCUAUUACAAUCAGCUGCAUGAGGUGGAAGAGAAAAUGCCCCGCAAGCACUUUGAUCUCGACGUCACUUUUGAAGGAUCCAGCGGUAGAUCAAAUUCUCACACUAUAUCACAUAUUUUACACGACGUCCUUCAGACGGGUGACAAAUUAAAGCAAAUGCACUUUAACAAAAAAAAAAAAAAAACAAAGCAUUUUGACUGCUGACCUGAGUAAAUUUAGUAAAUUGAAUUUAUAAAACACUCGCGUACAAUCUCUUAAAAUACAUACGUUUUGCAUACAUCACAAUGCAAGGACUGUGUGUGCUCAUCUUCAGGGACUUUUUGUUCGUAUUAUUUUUGUUAAGAUCAAAUGAAUACAUGAUUGUUAAGAUCAAAAUAACACGUUGGAGCAUAAUUACAUCAAAUACACUAUUACAUACGCUCUAGCCCACCAUAUAAUAUAUACAGCUGUACAUUAAUUAAUGCUUUGCUGCUGUCCCGGACCAGAAAAGCCUCCAGCAGAUGUAGAAAAGUCAGACAAGAUCAAGUAGUUGUUGUUGUUGUUGUUAUACGUGUACACGACUGUGCAAAAUGUUAGAUCGGCAGCAAUAUCGACUACCUUAUUACAAAUUGCAGGGCACAGUUUCACAGCUUUGGGUAGUUCAAAAUAUCUUGUGCCAGUUCCUCUGUGGACUGACACUCUGUACAUUAUCUGAUAGGUACUUUAUUCAUUCCCUUAGGGAGAUUCAAGGUAUGCAUGAGCUCACGUGUUACAUAGAAGAUAGAGGGCCACUGUGCGAAUGAGCAUGCAACAGACAUCCCAAAUCUGCCUAAAAUGCUGGUAUUUACAGAGCAGGGCUCUAGGACCCGGAGACGUCAGGAUGGUGGUUCUUGAUAUCAGUCUACCAACUGGAUUCACCCCAGAAAACUCUGACCUGGAGAUGGUAAUCACCUUCUAGUGCUAGUGCAGAAAAAUCUGAAAGCUUGUGUCAAUGGUGUAUUUAAGUGUCUUUAAAAUGAAUGUAGUAUUUUAAAUAAAAGUUUGUAAAAAGUUUACUACAUCAUGAUAAUGACCUUCUAAUGGAUGAGACAUGAAUGAUCGCAUGUUUAGGGCGGCGGCGUUGCUAACUAGCUAACAGCUGACUCUGUUUAUGUGUGUGUCCAGCUGUCCAAUUCAGUGCAUCGUUACAUCAGUAACUUCCAGAUUGUAGACAACCUGAGUGACAGAGGCUCCCUGAUCAUUCACCUGUUCAAAUGUCCCUGAUCCCAGAGCUGGAUGCUUCAGAUCUGUGGUGGUUCUCCCACCAACUGGCCUAAUCUCCAUCUGUGGGAUGCUGCUGCUGCUGACCUUCCUCCAGCCCACUGCUUCCAGCUGCCCAUUUCCAUCAAUCUACUCUGCAUCACCCUCACUAUACUUGAUUUGCUCGUCUACAUAUUUUUGAAUUUACCACCAGCUAUAUAUGUAGUAUAUUUAAUGCCAGAGCCAUACACCGUAGCAGUAAACUAUAAUCAGUUUCCA